rnacentral:rRNA from 1 species
GACGAACGCUGGCGGCGUGCCUAAUACAUGCAAGUCGAACGCAGUGGGGACGGGUGAGUAACACGUGGGUAACCUCCCAUCAGAGGGGAUAACACUUGGAAACAGGUGCUAAACCGAUACUGAUGGAUGAACCCGCGGUGCAUUAGCUAGUUGGGGAGGUAACGGCUCACCAAGGCAACGAUGCAUAGCCGACCUGAGAGGGUGAUCGGCCACACUGAGACUGACACGCCCCAGUCUCUGACGGGAGGCAGCAGUAGGGAAUCUGCGGCAAUGGACGAAAGUCUGACCGAGCAACGCCGCGUUAGUGAAGAAGGUUUGCGUAUCGUAAAACUCUGUUGUUAGAGAAGCGGUAUCUAACCAGAAAGCCACGGCUAACUACGUGCCAGCAGCCGCGGUAUAC